rfam:Danio rerio chromosome 3, GRCz11 reference primary assembly.
CUAGGCUAUGGUGACAUGUAUCCCGAGACAUGGUCGGGCAUGUUGGUGGGCGCCCUGUGUGCCCUGGCAGGCGUGCUGACCAUCGCCAUGCCUGUGCCCGUCAUUGUAAACAAC